CCUACAGCGCGAGCAGGCCGUUCGCGCCGCCUGCCAUUCAGCGCGAGCGAUUGCCACUGGCACGCCUGCAAUCGCGCGCUGACCAGCUUUCGUCGCUAAGGCGCUGCGACGAGCUCGGCAGGCUCGAAAGGUCAAGUUGUGAGUGUUACCAUACGUACCAUUGCAAAAUAUCCAUAACUUGCGCGGGUACGCUUAAAAAAUUUUCGACUAAAAAUCACCGCAUCGAAUGAGU